GCGGGUAGCUCAGCUGGUUAGAGCGCUUCUCUUACACAGAAGAGGUCGCAGGUUCGAGUCCUGUCCUGCCC
rnacentral:tRNA from 1 species